rnacentral:rRNA from 1 species
UGCAAGUCGAACGGUAACAGGAAGCAGCUUGCUGCUUCGCUGACGAGUGGCGGACGGGUGAGUAAUGUCUGGGAAACUGCCUGAUGGAGGGGGAUAACUACUGGAAACGGUAGCUAAUACCGCAUAACGUCGCAAGACCAAAGAGGGGGACCUUCGGGCCUCUUGCCAUCGGAUGUGCCCAGAUGGGAUUAGCUAGUAGGUGGGGUAACGGCUCACCUAGGCGACGAUCCCUAGCUGGUCUGAGAGGAUGACCAGCCACACUGGAACUGAGACACGGUCCAGACUCCUACGGGAGGCAGCAGUGGGGAAUAUUGCACAAUGGGCGCAAGCCUGAUGCAGCCAUGCCGCGUGUAUGAAGAAGGCCUUCGGGUUGUAAAGUACUUUCAGCGGGGAGGAAGGCGAUAAGGUUAAUAACCUUGUCGAUUGACGUUACCCGCAGAAGAAGCACCGGCUAACUCCGUGCCAGCAGCCGCGGUAAUACGGAGGGUGCAAGCGUUAAUCGGAAUUACUGGGCGUAAAGCGCACGCAGGCGGUCUGUCAAGUCGGAUGUGAAAUCCCCGGGCUCAACCUGGGAACUGCAUUCGAAACUGGCAGGCUAGAGUCUUGUAGAGGGGGGUAGAAUUCCAGGUGUAGCGGUGAAAUGCGUAGAGAUCUGGAGGAAUACCGGUGGCGAAGGCGGCCCCCUGGACAAAGACUGACGCUCAGGUGCGAAAGCGUGGGGAGCAAACAGGAUA